rnacentral:tmRNA from 1 species
GGGCUUGUACAGGUUUCGACGGGGAUUUUGAAUUCGGAGAAGCAAGCCGCAUGGUAAUGCGUCAAAUUCCAAAUUAAAAAUAAACGCUGAAGAUAAUUUAGCAAUCGCUGCCUAAUGGCAGCUGUCAGCUCUGAUGCACCUGCACAUCAGUGAUCUGGCAUCGACCUUGCAGGAAACGACAUGCGCAAAGCUUUGAGCGCGCGGGCGUAUCAUGAAGCUACUGAGUGACGGAUUGUGUCAGUUCAAGCCGUCAGGAGGGAAUGUUAAAUAACCGACUAAGCUUGUAGAAGGACGAUGGAUGGAUUUUCGGACAGGGGUUCGACUCCCCUCAGGUCCACU